GACGAACGNNGGCGGCGUGCUUAACACAUGCAAGUCGAACGCUGAAGCCCAGCUUGCUGGGUGGAUGAGUGGCGAACGGGUGAGUAACACGUGAGUAACCUGCCCCCUUCUUUGGGAUAACGCCCGGAAACGGGUGCUAAUACUGGAUAUUCACUGGCCUUCGCAUGGGGGUUGGUGGAAAGGUUUUUCUGGUGGGGGAUGGGCUCGCGGCCUAUCAGCUUGUUGGUGGGGUGAUGGCCUACCAAGGCUUUGACGGGUAGCCGGCCUGAGAGGGUGACCGGUCACAUUGGGACUGAGAUACGGCCCAGACUCCUACGGGAGGCAGCAGUGGGGAAUAUUGCACAAUGGGCGAAAGCCUGAUGCAGCGACGCCGCGUGAGGGAUGACGGCCUUCGGGUUGUAAACCUCUUUCGCUCAUGGUCAAGCCGCAGCUUUGGGUUGUGGUGAGGGUAGUGGGUAAAGAAGCGCCGGCUAACUACGUGCCAGCAGCCGCGGUAAUACGUAGGGCGCGAGCGUUGUCCGGAAUUAUUGGGCGUAAAGGGCUUGUAGGCGGUUGGUCGCGUCUGCCGUGAAAUCCUCUGGCUUAACUGGGGGCGUGCGGUGGGUACGGGCUGACUUGAGUGCGGUAGGGGAGACUGGAACUCCUGGUGUAGCGGUGGAAUGCGCAGAUAUCAGGAAGAACACCGGUGGCGAAGGCGGGUCUCUGGGCCGUUACUGACGCUGAGGAGCGAAAGCGUGGGGAGCGAACAGG
rnacentral:rRNA from 1 species